UCAUGCAAGCGUGUUUCAGAAGCUAUACCAUGUUUAUUUUGAAUACAUCAAUACUUACUUUGGUCUCUCUUUUUUCCCCACUUCACCAAAUUACUCUUCCCCUUGUUAGUCCUACAUACUGUCGAAUUCCAAAAACGUGGCCUCCCUCAUGCACACAUAAUUGUGUGGGUUACUCAUGACACAUCACAACCAACACCGACAUACAUUGAUUCGUACAUAAGUGCAGAAAUCCCUAACCCAAAAAAUGAUCCUCUAGGAUAUGUAUUAGUAGCUGAACACAUGACACACGGCCCAUGCGGUGAAAACCACCCAUAUAGCCCCUGCAUGAAAAAUGGCAAAUGCUCAAAAGGAUAUCCCAAACAUUUUCACGCUGAAACCACUGUAGAUGAAACUGGCUUUGCAAUAUACAAAAGAUCUGAUAACAACAGAUAUAUCCAAAAAGGAAACACAAAGCUCAAUAACCGAUAGAUAGUCCCCUAUAAUAUGCAUUUGCUUUAAAAGUUCCAGGCACACAUCAAUGUAGAAUGGUGUAAUAAAGGUGUUUUUAUCAAAUACUUAUUUAAGUAUGUAACAAAAGGGCCACAUUGUAGCAAAGUCUAUAUCGAAAGAUUAAAAAAUGGCCACGAUGCACCAUAUGACAUUGAAACUCAAACAAUAAAUGAGGUCAAAGAAUAUUUAGACUGUCGCUACAUCUGUGAAUAGGACGCAUGUUGGCGCGUAUUCGGAUUUGAUAUUCAUAGACAUUUUCCGCCUGUAGAGAGACUCCCUGUACACUUACCAAACAAAAAUAAUAUAACAUAUAAUGCCGAUGCUAAUCUAGCUGCCAUCAUUUCCGUAGAAUUCCUACGUAAAACUAUGUUGACUGAGUGGUUUGUAGCCAAUCGAACAUAUCUUGAGGCAAAAGAGUUAACAUAUUGUGAGUUCCCUUCAAAAUGACGCUGGGACGAAACAUCAAGGGUAUGGAAGCCCAUGAAAACAGGAACAAAAAUAGGUCGGCUAUACUAUGUCCACCCAACUAUUGGCGAACGAUAUUACCUUAGAAUGUUACUAAUGAUCGUUAAAGGCGCACAAAACUAUGAUGAGAUUAAAACAUACAAUGACGUUACAUACGCAACAUUUAAAGAAGCGUGUAGUGCUCGUGGCCUCCUUGGUGAUGAUCAAGAAUGGUAUAACGCUUUUGAUGAAAGGGCAACUUGGGCUACUUCUACACAACUUAGGCAAUUAUUUGUAACAAUGCUUCUCUUUUGUGAAGUUAACGAUGAAUAUACAUUCUUCGAAAAAGUCUAACAAGCGUUAGCUGAUGACAUUCAAUAUAGAUUUAGAGAAACUAUUGGUAAUCCAAAUUAUCAACUGCCUCAAAGCCAACUAAAAGACUACUUGCUUGAUGAACUUUCCACACUAUUUGCAAAAAAUGGAGUCAGGAUGAGAGACUAUAACUUACCACAAAGAGCAAUUGCUCAUACAGUAUAUACAAACCGAUAUAUUGAUGAAGAACUAUCAUAUGACACUAAAGAUCUCUUGCUUAAAUCUGAACACUUAGUAUCAAAUCUUAAUAACGAACAACGCCAAGCUUUUGAUUGCAUAACAAACACAGUUCUAAAUAAUAAUCCUGGCUUCUUCUUUGUUUCUGGUUAUGGAGAUACUGUAAAACUUAUUUAUGGAAUGCUAUAGUGAUGUACUUAUGUGCGCAGAACAAAAUUGUCAUUAUAGUGGCCUCUUCUGGUGUUGCAUCCUUGUUAUUACCAGACGGAAGGACAGCCCAUUCUCGAUUCAAAAUCCCUUGUGACAUAGAUGAUGCUACUGUAUGUGACAUCAAGUGUGGCACCAUGCUUGCUGAACUUAUUGAAGCAACAUCGUUAGUCAUUUGGGAUGAAGCCCUCAUGACACACAGAUUAGCAUUUGAGACACUGGAUAGAACAUUUCGUGAUUUAUUAUCAGUUCAAUCACCACAUGCAAAACAAACUCCUUUUGGUGGCAAAGUAAUUGUUCUAUGAGGUGAUGUGAGGCAAAUCCUUCCUGUCAUUGAAGGUGGUAAUAGAGCACAGAUCAUAAGAACUCGCAUCUUUGGAACAACGUCACGAUUCUAACAUUGAACAAAAACAUGAGACUAUCUUCUCCAAAUUUAGAUGCACAUACUCAACAAGAAAUAGCUGAAUUUAGUACAUGGGUAUUAAAUUUAGGUGAAGGCAAGUUACAAGCAACAGCACAGGAAGGUGAAUUAGAACCUACAUGGAUAAAAAUACCUCAUGAGCUACUUCUUAUGACUGACAAUGAUAAAAUUUCCUGCUUGGUUAACGCUAUAUGCCCAGAUUUACAGAACAAAUUCUCUGAUAUUGAAUACCUUGGCACAAGAGCUAUACUAACACCAACUAAUGAGCUAGCUGAUCAAAUCAAUUCAUAUAUAGUAUCUCUUAUUCCUGGUAAUCACAAAGAAUACCUAAGUUGCGAUAGAAUAUCCAAAGCGCAGAAUAAUCAUGAUUCAUAUGACCUCUUAUAUCCAAUUGAAUUUUUGAAUUCGCUAAAUGGAAACAACUUCCCGCAACAUAAAUUGAUCCUUAAAAAAGGACUUCCAAUAAUGUUGGUCCUCAAUUUGAAUCAGUCGAGUGGCUUAUGCAACGGAACACGUUUAAUAAUUACAGUCAUGGGUGAUAUGAUUAUUGAAUCACAAAUAAUAACUGACACACAUGCAGGGCACAACGUAUUUAUACCUCGCAUCUGUUUGAUACUCAAAAACAACAAGCUGCCCUUUAUGCUAGAGCGACGUCAAUUCCCUAUAAAGGUAUGCUAUGGCAUGACCAUUAACAAGAGCCAAGGUCAAACACUGGAUAAGGUUUACAAAAUGCCUUUCCACCUACUUCCCACAUUACACCCGAAAGCCAAGCACUGGACAAUUUGUGCCCGCGUCUCACGCAAGUGGGAGUAUCGCGGUGGCACUGAUGAUGGCCCAAUAACACAUAUUGAUCUUGUCCUUGUCGAUGAAAAAGGGAAUGCUAUGUAUGGUGAAAUACCAAGCUCUGAAAUAGAAGCUAAAGAUCCUUUGAUUCAAGAAGGUGGCAUCUAUGUUGUGAGCCGCUUUAGAGUUUCCAACGCUAGAUCUCUCUACAGGCUAGUUAAUGCACCUUAUAUGAUUGAAUUUACUUGCUAUACAAAGAUAACACCAGCAAGAGAUCCACCAGAAGCAUUCCCUAGAUAUGUUUACAGAUUAACACCUUUCACUGAUCUAUCUCAGCAUGCUAGUGAGAACAAAUAUUUCUUAGAUGUUAUUGGCAUCAUCACCGGAGUUUCCGACAUAGCCUUAGUUCAGCUCCCAAAUCAGGCAAAUCCAACAUUAAGCAAAUAUGUCAUCCUGAAAGAUCUAAACAACGAACAACCUACACCAAUUGUGAUCCUCGUUGUUGGCAGCCUGAUGAAAGCUUUCAGAGGCCAAGAAUACCUGAGUGGAAACACAGCAUGUCACUGGUACUUUAAUCCUGCUAUUCCAGAAGCUGAACCAUUUUACCGCAUUACUCAAAAGCAACAUCUUAUCAUUAAACACACUACUGUCUCCACACAAGAAGGAACACACCUUCAAAAACCAAUUGAACUUGAAGACAAACAACUGAAGGACUUAGAAGCAAUGAACCCAUAUGAUUUCCCGGAGGGAGGUUAUCGCUGCACCGUGACUAUAACCCGUUUGAGCCCAAACACAGCAUGGUGGUUUCCAUCAUGCAAUAGAUGCAGCAGAGCUUGUGUCCCAGAUGGCAUUGGAUAUAAAUGUAAUGCAUGCUCCUGCACGGGUUAUCGCUUCAAGUAUAAACUGUGUUUCAUUACAAGUGAUGGAACCGCCGAAGCUGAAAUGGUUGCUUUCGGCGAGGUAGGCCGCUGCAUAGUAGGCACCUCCCUCUGCCCUGAGUCAUGAUGAAGCUGCAUCCAAAAAACCGACCUACUCAGAGCUACUGCUGAUAGCUCCAAGCAGCCUACCACAUGCAAAAGGCUAUUUGAAGAAACCACAGAUUCCACAAAGGCAAGUAUAAAACCUCUUAUUAAAUAGUUAGUCAUUCAUGCAUCAACUUCAUCUUACCGAAACGGGGAAAAAAGCCUGUGCACCUAUUUCUAUUUAUGCGAAUUCACAUAUACAAAAGAACAAUGAUUGAAAAAAAAAACAAUAAGAACUACACCUAUACAAAAGCAUACGAAUCAUCACCUUAACUGACAGCCAAAGAGCUACACAUAAAGGUUUCUCCAGUGUUGAAAUACCUAUGCUACUAACUAUAGCUAAGACCAAUACUACCAAUGCAAAUUUGUUCCUUCUGUAUCUAUACAGGAUUCCUUGCCACCACAUCGCACGUUCAAACAAAAGGAUGCCUGAGGUGACCAUCCAUUCCCAAGGAAGAAUGUGAUGAAGUUCAUCAACAACACUACAACACUUUGACUGAAAUGGACUACCUGACUUUUGCCACGGAAGGAAGCAACUUUUUUUUUUUGUGUAUGCUUUUGAACCUGCCUUGACAAGCCCAUCACCAAACUAUUUUGUCCAGUGCCAUCUUUAGAUACUUGCUCCUAUCGCUACCUGUAUAUAAUACUAAGCUACCGGUGCUUUUUGAACCUCUAAUAUCACCAAUGAGCUAGAACUGAACACCCCCCCCCCCCAAUAGGAUAAGAUUACCUUUUGCCAGCAGUCACUAACAUCGCCUAGCAAACCUUGCAUAUGUAAUGUACAGGAUCCCCUUACUAUUGCAAAUAUUCUGUUAGAUAAGCAUAUUA